rnacentral:rRNA from 1 species
AAUCAACGCUGGCGGCGUGCCUCAGACAUGCAAGUCGAACGCGAAAGUUUCCUUCGGGAGAUGAGUAGAGUGGCGCACAGGUGAGUAACACGUGAGUAAUUUACCUCGGUGGGAGUACUAACCGGAACGGUAGUUAUACGCAUAAUGCAGCGGCAUCAAUGAUGACAGUUGUUAAAGCGGGGGAGUUGGAGCAAUCCGACCUCGCGCCUGAAGAGAAGCNCGCGGCAGAUUAGCUAGUUGGUAAGGUAAUGGCUUACC